rnacentral:tRNA from 1 species
CGGGACGUGGCGCAGCCUGGUAGCGCACCUGAAUGGGGUUCAGGGGGUCGCGAGUUCGAAUCUCGCCGUCCCGACCA